CAUAGAGGGUGAGAAUCCCGUAUGUGACUGGCCGCCACGCCCGUGUGAAGCUCCUUCGACGAGUCGAGUUGUUUGGGAAUGCAGCUCAAAAUGGGUGGUAAAUUUCAUCUAAAGCUAAAUAUUGGCCAGAGACCGAUAGCGCACAAGUAGAGUGAUCGAAAGAUGAAAAGCACUUUGGAAAGAGAGUCAAACAGUACGUGAAAUUGUUGAAAGGGAAGCGCUUGCAACCAGACUUGCCCGCGGGUGAUCAGCCGGUAUUCUUACCGGUGCACUCGCCCGUGGUCAGGCCAGCAUCGGUUCGGGCGGCUGGAUAAAGUCCACUGGAAUGUAGCUCCUCUCGGGGAGUGUUAUAGCCAGAGGUGCCAUGCAGCCCGCCCGGACCGAGGACCGCGCUUCGGCUAGGAUGCUGGCGUAAUGGUUGUAAGCGACCCGUCUUGAAACACGGACCAAGGAGUCUAACAUCUAUGCGAGUGUUUGGGUGUCAAACCCAUGCGCGUAAUGAAAGUGAACGGAGGUGGGAACCCUCAAGGGUGCACCAUCGACCGAUCCUGAUGUCUUCGGAUGGAUUUGAGUAAGAGCAUAGCUGUUGGGACCCGAAAGAUGGUGAACUAUGCCUGAAUAGGGUGAAGCCAGAGGAAACUCUGGUGGAGGCUCGCAGCGGUUCUGACGUGCAAAUCGAUCGUCAAA
rnacentral:rRNA from 1 species